GCUUUUGUUUACCAUUCCCUUGAGGCUGAGCUAUUUAGGAAUUGAUAUUCUACUUCGUCUGAACUGCUUUAUAACUGAGGAAAUAUUAAGAUAAUCAAGAUUCUUGUCUCGAUAAUUGAUCGAAAGACAAGUUACUUUUAACCAAAGAUUUAUGAUGGUAGGAUUUUUACAGCAACAAAAUAAACUCAUGAGAAAGUUAUGUUUA